AACGAACGCUGGCGGCAGGCUUAACACAUGCAAGUCGAACGGACGUAGCAAUACGUCAGUGGCAGACGGGUGAGUAACGCGUGGGAAUAUGCCCUUUAGUUCGGAAUAACUCAGGGAAACUUGAGCUAAUACCGGAUAAGCCCGAGAGGGGAAAGAUUUAUCGCUGAAGGAGUAGCCCGCGUCUGAUUAGCUAGUUGGUGAGGUAAUGGCUCACCAAGGCGACGAUCAGUAGCUGGUCUGAGAGGAUGAUCAGCCACACUGGGACUGAGACACGGCCCAGACUCCUACGGGAGGCAGCAGUGGGGAAUAUUGGACAAUGGGCGAAAGCCUGAUCCAGCCAUGCCGCGUGAGUGAUGAAGGCCUUAGGGUUGUAAAGCUCUUUCAGUAGGGAAGAUAAUGACGGUACCUACAGAAGAAGCCCCGGCUAACUUCGUG
rnacentral:rRNA from 1 species